CUCUAUCCCAUUUUCAGAUGGAGCGCUUCAGAUCCUGGGCUCCAGACACUCAGCUACUGCCAGACUUUUCCGGACCACCUGUGGCACUUUGACAAUAAUUAGUUGUCAAUUACAGAGAGCAGCAGCUUCCAUUUCCCCUUCUGCUUUUAGCUCUUAUCAGAAGGCCUGGAUGGAUUUCUUAGCCUUAAGUUGGCAGUCCUCGGCCAUUCAGAAGAACUGGCCCCCAUCCUCUAGCAGAUCCUGCAAUAUUUGGUCCACCUGCUGCAGAUUGGAUGUGCUGUUAAAACUAUCAGAAUUCAGUCCGCUGCAAUGUCUGUUAUAGUGAAGCUUUAAUUUUCAGAGACCCUUGUAUAAAGUCUGUCGUGCGCAGGGCCUUGGUAGGUGGGAACAGGCUCCAACCUCAUAUGACAGUGGGCAGGAAGUCGGUCAAUUUUUACCUAUGAAGUAUCUGCAACAAGUUAUAACUUGUCUGCUGGUUAAAGAUCAAGGCGAGACUCCUUUCAGUAUUCCAUUGCAUUUUUGGUGCACUAAGGGUUGGGAAAAUUGUGUUGGAGCCAGCACGGGGCUGAGAGUCUGGAGGCUUAUUGCUUCAGGACUUUUCCUUAUCUGCUUUGGAGCUUGUCAUUAGAGUUGGGAACUCUAAAACAGACCUAGUGGGCAGGAGUGCCACCAUCAGGCUUCCCGUCACAGGUGAGGAGGGCCCUUGCCUGGUUAUGGAUACCAGAAAUAUUUGGCUUUUCAUUCCCCUGGGGGGUGGCCCGCUCCUAGUGCAUGAAAAUGGGUUCCCGUUAGCCAGGCAUCAAUGUGCUUACGUCGUGCACCAGUUAUUAUGGCCUGCGGCUUGCCUACCGCUGAACACGCCUCAUUCCUUCCGAAUAGGGCUGUUGCAAAGGCUGCACACUGGGGGCCUGUCAGUAGACAGGAUUGUGAAUAUGGGUCAUUGGAAGUCUGAUGCUGACAAGGGUUACAUCAGGAAGUGUCACCAACGAUGUCUGUGCUGAUGCCUGUCUGUUAUUUCCUUUUUUCAUAGAAGCAGCUGUGCACAUUUGGAUUGUCGGCCACAGCAUUGUACACUGGGCUGGCAAGCGCUCUGACGAGUCUGGACUGGGGUGCCAUCUCAGUCUUCCUGCCCAUGUGAACAUAUACAUAUACUUCUUAGGGUUAGCAGGAUCAGCAACAAGAACAACAGGUCUGAUCUUCAUUGAAGCACAGAGCUAAAUCAUGGCAUUCACUCCCACAAGAAGCAGUGAUGGCUACCAAUAUGGAUAAUUUUAAAAGAGGAUUGGACAAAUUCACAGAGGAUUAGCCACAAUGGCUCUGCUCAGACUUGACAGUCAGAGACAGAAAUGCUUCUGAAGACCUGUUGCUGGAAACCACAGGAAGGGAGGGUGUGCUCAGGUCGUUCUUGAGGGCUUCCCAUAGACAUCUGACUGGCCACUGUGAGAACAAGAUGCUAGACUUGAUAGGCCCCAGCCUGAUCAAGAAGGGCCAUUCAUGGGUUCUCAACAACAAUAGCAACAACUGGCUCUCCAGUAACAGCAGCUGCCAUUGUGAUUUUGGAUGAGGGCCUGCAGGGCCAGCCCAUCCAUGAGGCAGGGUGAAGCAGCCUUCCUCAGAUGACAGAAUCCUUUGGGGCAGUGCCCUGUGGGUAUCUUGCCUGCCCUUGCUGCCAGCAGGGUUACACAGCAGUGGCUUCCAGUGAGAUUUCUGUGAGAUCUCACUGGAAGCCACUGCUGCACAACCUCAGUAAAGUGAGCCUUCAGUGGAGGAGGACAGCGCUUCUCUUUUUGCCUCAGUCUGCAAAAUGGGAUGGGCCACCCCUGGGAGCCUGAUACCUGAGGUUCUCCAGUCCUGGCACAGUAAAUUUCUCCCCCCAUUUCUAAUUGUUGAACUCAUCAAAACCUUUGUAUUGAUUUUUAUUUUUGAUUGGUUUUUUGUUGUUGUUUCAUUUUCCUGUUAGUCUCCUUCCUUUGCAGACAUCUCACCAACAUAAAACUCAGCAGUUUACAUUUACAGAGAAAGUAGAAAAUACGGUGAAAAUAUAAAUACCAUGCAUGAAAAGGGAGCCAGGAAGCUGAGAACCUACGGAGAAAGCCAUCCUGCUCUUCCCUCAGCAUCAAGAGAGGUUGCAUAAAUCUGCAUCUCAAGCAAACUUCAAAAAGUAACCCACAGUUCUGAGGGUUUGAGAGCUGAAAUGAGCUCAAAGGAAGGAAAGGGGUUGUUAAGUCUUGGUUGGUGUUUGGGCCCCAUCUCAAAAAGGACAUUACAGAGCUUGAAAAGGUUCAGAAAAGAGCCACGAAAAACAAUCAAGGGGGGAGCAGACCCCAAGCAAGAAAUGCUAAAUGUCUGAGGCCUGUUUUUUAAAGUGAAGGAAAAGGCAACAUCAGCUAUGCACAGCUAGGUAAACAAAUUUGUAAGAAAUAUCCAUGUACAGUCAUACCUCAGAAGUCGAAUGC